rnacentral:rRNA from 1 species
AUUGAACGCUGGCGGCAGGCCUAACACAUGCAAGUCGAGCGAGCGGCGGACGGGUGAGUAAUGUAUGGGGACUGAGCGAUAGAGGGAGAUAACUAGUGGAAAAGGUGGCUAAUACCGCAUAAUAUGGGUUAACCCAUAUGGGAUUAGCUAGUAGGUGGGGUAAAGGCACACCUAGGCGACGAUCUCCAGCUGGUCUGAGAGGAAGAUCAGCCACACUGGGACGUAGACACGGCCCAGACUCCUACGGAGGCAGCAGUGGGGAAGAUUGCACAAUGGGCGCAAGCCUGAUGCAGCCAUGCCGCGUGUAUGAAGAAGGCCUUAGGGUUGUAAAGUACUUUCAGCGGGGAGGCGUUACCCGCAGAAGAAGCACCGGCUAACUCCGUGCCAGCAGCCGCGGUAAUAC